rnacentral:rRNA from 1 species
GGAGUUAAGGAAUGUAGAUACGCUAAUAUCGUAUCUAUUUGACAAAGGCUCCAAAGGAAGCCACGGCAAACUCUGUGCCAGCCGCCGCGGUAAUACAGAGGUGGCAAGCGUUGUUCGGAAUUAUUGGGCGUAAAGAGCACGUAGGUGGAUUUGUAAGUCAGAUGUGAAAGCCUUCUGUUCAACGGAAGAAUUGCAUCUGAAACUACAAACCUUGAGUAUAGGAGGGG